GGUCAAGCUACAAAGAGCUAGUGGUGGAUACCUAAGCACACAGAG
rnacentral:rRNA from 1 species